rnacentral:rRNA from 1 species
AUUGAACGCUGGCGGCAGGCCUAACACAUGCAAGUCGAGCGAGCGUCGCGCGGGUGAGUAAUAUCUGUGAGACUGCCUGAUGUGGGGGGAUACCUCCUGGAAACAGUAGCUAAUACCGCAUACCCUCAGAUUUGCCCAGAUUGGAUUAGCUAGUAGUUGGGGUAACGGCUCACCUAGGCGCCGAUCCCUAGCUGGUCUGAGAGGAUGACCAGCCACACUGGAACUGAGACACGGUCCAGACUCCUACGGGAGGCAGCAGUGGGGAAUAUUGCACAAUGGGCGCAAGCCUGAUGCAGCCAUGCCGCGUGUGUGAAGAAGGCCUUCGGGUUGUAAAGCACUUUCAGCGGGGAGGCGUUACCCGCAGAAGAAGCACCGGCUAACUCCGUGCCAGCAACCGCGGUAAUAC